UACGAAGGGGGCUAGCGUUACUCUGAAUGACUGGGCGUAAAGGGCGCGUAGGCGGCCAUUCAAGUCGGAGGUGAAAGCCCAGGGCUCAACCCUGGAAUUGCCUUCGAUACUGUCUGGCUAGAGACCGGAAGAGGUAAGUGGAACUGCGAGUGUAGAGGUGAAAUUCGUAGAUAUUCGCAAGACACCAGUGGCGAAGGCGGCUUACUGGUCCGGUUCUGACGCUGAGGCGCGAAAGCGUGGGAGCAACAG
rnacentral:rRNA from 1 species